rnacentral:rRNA from 1 species
ACGGCUCAGUAACACGUGGACAAUCUAACCUAUGGAGGGGGAUAACCCCGGGAAACUGGGGAUAAUACCCCAUAGACUAUGGAUGCUGGAAUGCUCUGUAGUUGAAAGGUCCGCCGCCAUAGGAUGGGUCUGCGGCCGAUUAGGUUGUUGUUGGGGUAACGGCCCAACAAGCCUGUAAUCGGUACGGGUUGUGGGAGCAAGAGCCCGGAGAUGGAUUCUGAGACACGAAUCCAGGCCCUACGGGGCGCAGCAGGCGCGAAAACUAUACAAUGGCGGGAAACCGUGAUAAGGGAACUCCGAGUGCCCGUAAAAUCGGGCUGUCCAUCGGUUUAAAUAACCGGUGAAGAAAGGGCCGGGCAAGACCGGUGCCAGCCGCCGCGGUAAUACCGGCGGCUCGAGUGGUGGCCACUAUUACUGGGCUUAAAGCGUUCGUAGCUGGUUUGUUAAGUCUCUGGGGAAAUCUGCCGGCUUAACCGGCAGGCGUUUCAGGGAUACUGGCAGACUAGGGACCGGGAGAGGUGAGGGGUACUCCAGGGGUAGGAGUGAAAUCCUGUAAUCCUUGGGGGACCACCUGUGGCGAAGGCGCCUCACCAGAACGGCUCCGACAGUGAGGGACGAAAGCUGGGGGAGCAAACCGGAUUAGAUACCCGGGUAGUCCCAGCCGUAAACGAUGCGCGUUAGGUGUAUCGGUGACCACGAGUCACCGAGGUGCCGAAGAGAAAUCGUGAAACGUGCCGCCUGGAAGUA